rnacentral:rRNA from 1 species
ACAGAGGUGGCAAGCGUUGUUCGGAAUCACUGGGCUUAAAGGGUGUGUAGGCGGGUCAGAGGGUGUCUCGUGAAAGCCCCCGGCUUAACCGGGGAAUUGCGGGGCAAACCGCUGGUCUUGAGGUCGGCAGGGGUAUCCGGAACUUUGGGUGGAGCGGUGAAAUGCGUUGAUAUCCAAGGGAACGCCGAUGGCGCAAGCGGGGUACUGGGCCGAUUCUGACGCUGAGACACGAAAGCGUGGGGAGCAAACAG